AGCGGAUGAAGGGAGCUUGCUCCCGGAUUCAGCGGCGGACGGGUGAGUAAUGCCUAGGAAUCUGCCUGGUAGUGGGGGACAACGUUUCGAAAGGAACGCUAAUACCGCAUACGUCCUACGGGAGAAAGCAGGGGACCUUCGGGCCUUGCGCUAUCAGAUGAGCCUAGGUCGGAUUAGCUAGUUGGUGAGGUAAUGGCUCACCAAGGCGACGAUCCGUAACUGGUCUGAGAGGAUGAUCAGUCACACUGGAACUGAGACACGGUCCAGACUCCUACGGGAGGCAGCAGUGGGGAAUAUUGGACAAUGGGCGAAAGCCUGAUCCAGCCAUGCCGCGUGUGUGAAGAAGGUCUUCGGAUUGUAAAGCACUUUAAGUUGGGAGGAAGGGUUGUACAUUAAUACUCUGCCAUUUUGACGUUA
rnacentral:rRNA from 1 species